UACGUAGGGGGCAAGCGUUGUCCGGAAUCAUUGGGCGUAAAGAGCGUGUAGGCGGCUCGAUAAGUCUGCUGUGAAAGCCCUCGGCUCAACCGAGGAAGUGCACCCGAAACUGCAGAGCUAGAGUCUCGGAGAGGAUCGUGGAAUUCUCGGUGUAGAGGUGAAAUUCGUAGAUAUCGAGAGGAACACCGGUGGCGAAGGCGGCGAUCUGGACGAUGACUGACGCUGAGACGCGAAAGCGUGGGGAGCAAACAGG
rnacentral:rRNA from 1 species